CCAAACUGUUGCCUCGGCGGGGUCACGCCCCGGGUGCGUAAAAGCCCCGGAACCAGGGGCCCGCCGGAAGAACCAACCAAACUCUUUCUGGAAUCCCCUCUCGGACGUAUUUCUUACAGCUCUGACCAAAAAUUCAAAAUGAAUCAGAACUUUCAACAACAGAUCUCUUGGUUCUGGCAUCGAUGAUAACGCAGCGAAAUGCGAUAAGUAAUGUGAAUUGCAAAAUUCAAUGAAUCAUCCAAUCUUUGAACGCACAUUGCGCCCGCCAGUAUUCUGGCGGGCAUGCCUGUCCGAGCGUCAUUUCAACCCUCGAACCCCUCCGGGGGAUCGGCGUUGGGGAUCGGGACCCCUCACCGGGUGCCGGCCCUGAAAUACAGUGGCGGUCUCGCCGCAGCCUCUCCUGCGCACUACUUUGCACAACUCGCACCGGGAGCGCGGCGCGUCCACGUCCGUAAAACACCCAACUUCUGAAAUGUUGACCUCGGAUCAGGUAGGAAUACCCGCUGAACUUAAGCAUAUCAAUAAGCGGAGGAAAU
rnacentral:rRNA from 1 species